rnacentral:rRNA from 1 species
UACCAGCACCCCGAGUGGUCGGGACGUUAUUGGGCCUAAAGCAUCCGUAGCCGGUUCUGCAAGUCUCCCGUUAAAUCCAACUGCUCAACAGGUGGGCUGCGGAGGAUACUACAGAGCUAGGAGGCAGGAGAGGCAAGCGGUACUCAGUGGGUAGGGGUAAAAUCCGUUGAUCCAUUGAAGACCACCAGUGGCGAAGGCGGCUUGCCAGAACGCACUCGACGGUGAGGGAUGAAAGCUGGGGGAGCAAACCGG